UACGUAGGGUGCGAGCGUUAAUCGGAAUUACUGGGCGUAAAGCGCGCGUAGGCGGCUUUGUAAGUUAGAGGUGAAAGCCCGGGGCUCAACCCCGGAACUGCCUUUAAGACUGCAUCGCUUGAAUCCGGGAGAGGUGAGUGGAAUUCCGAGUGUAGAGGUGAAAUUCGUAGAUAUUCGGAAGAACACCAGUGGCGAAGGCGGCUCACUGGACCGGCAUUGACGCUGAUGUGCGAAAGCGUGGGGAGCAAACAGG
rnacentral:rRNA from 1 species